rnacentral:rRNA from 1 species
CUGAAUGGGGAAACCCACCUGUCAUAAGGCAGGUAUCGUAUGAUGAAUACAUAGUCAUACGAGGCGAACGAGGGGAAGUGAAACAUCUCAGUACCCUUAGGAAAAGAAAUCAAUUGAGAUUCCCUUAGUAGCGGCGAGCGAACGGGGAAAAGCCCAUUAAGUUAUCUAAGUUCUAGUGGAAUGCUCUGGGAAGUGCAACCAUAGUGGGUGAUAGUCCUGUACACGAAAGGGCUUAGAUAAUGAUGUCGAGUAGGGCGAGGCACGUGAAACCUUGUCUGAAUAUGGGGGGACCAUCCUCCAAGGCUAAAUACUCCUGACUGACCGAUAGUGAACCAGUACCGUGAGGGAAAGGCGAAAAGAACCCCUGUGAGGGGAGUGAAAUAGAUCCUGAAACCGCAUGCAUACAAGCAGUGGGAGCCGGCAUUGCGUCCGGUGACUGCGUACCUUUUGUAUAAUGGGUCAGCGACUUAUAUUCAGUAGCAAGGUUAACCGAAUAGGGGAGCCGUAGAGAAAUCGAGUCUUAAUAGGGCGAAUUAGUUGCUGGGUAUAGACCCGAAACCAGGUGAUCUAUCCAUGAGCAGGUUGAAGGUUGGGUAACACUAACUGGAGGACCGAACCCACUGUCGUUGAAAAGCCAGGGGAUGACUUGUGGAUAGGGGUGAAAGGCUAAUCAAACUCGGUGAUAGCUGGUUCUCCCCGAAAGCUAUUUAGGUAGCGCCUCGGACGAAUACCAUUGGGGGUAGAGCACUGUUUCGGCUAGGGGGUCAUCCCGACUUACCAAACCGAUGCAAACUCCGAAUACCAAUGAGUACUAUCCGGGAGACAGACUGCGGGUGCUAACGUCCGUAGUCAAGAGGAAAACAAUCCAGACCGCCAGCUAAGGCCCCAAAAUUAUAGUUAAGUGGGAAACGAUGUGGGAAGGCAUAGACAGCUAGGAGGUUGGCUUAGAAGCAGCCACCCUUUAAAGAAAGCGUAAUAGCUCACUAGUCGAGUCGGCCUGCGCGGAAGAUGUAACGGGGCUAAAACUAUAUGCCGAAGCUGCGGAUUUGCAAUUUAUUGCAAGUGGUAGGGGAGCGUUCUGUAAGCCGAUGAAGGUGUAUUGAGAAGUAUGCUGGAGGUAUCAGAAGUGCGAAUGCUGACGUGAGUAACGACAAUGCGAGUGAAAAACUCGCACGCUGAAAGACCAAGGGUUCCAGUCCAACGUUAAUCGGGGCUGGGUGAGUCGACCCCUAAGGCGAGGCCGAGAGGCGUAGUCGAUGGGAAAUUGGUUAAUAUUCCAAUACUUCUGUGUAAUGCGAUGAGAGGACGGAGAAGGUUAAGUCAGCCUGGCGUUGGUUGUCCAGGUGAAAGGUUGUAGGCAUGUAUCUUAGGCAAAUCCGGGGUGCUCUAUGCUGAGAACUGAUAGCAAGCUGUACUUGUACAGUGAAGUGGCUGAUACCAUGCUUCCAGGAAAAGUCUCUAAGCUUCAGUUACAUAGGAAUCGUACCCGAAACCGACACAGGUGGUCAGGUCGAGUAGACCAAAGCGCUUGAGAGAACUCUGCUGAAGGAACUAGGCAAAAUGGUACCGUAACUUCGGGAGAAGGUACGCUGCCGACGGUGAUAGGAUUUACUCCUUGAGCUAUUGGCAGCCACAGAAACCAGGCCCCUGCAACUGUUUAUUAAAAACAUAGCACUCUGCAAACACGAAAGUGGACGUAUAGGGUGUGAUGCCUGCCCGGUGCUGGAAGGUUAAUUGAUGGGGUUAGCGUAAGCGAAGCUCUUGAUCGAAGCCCCAGUAAACGGCGGCCGUAACUAUAACGGUCCUAAGGUAGCGAAAUUCCUUGUCGGGUAAGUUCCGACCUGCACGA